GAGAGAAAUAAAUCACAAAACAUGAACAUUACUUAAGUCAACAGAAAAAUGGAGAAAUAGCAUCUUGAAGUACUAAUGGUUAUAACUGCUGAUCAUUGCAAGUGAUUAGCUCCACUCCCAGAACAAUGCUAGUUGUGGUGUCAGUGCUUUCUGGUCUUGUUUUGAUUUUAAUGGGAAUACCUCUGGUGUUUCAAGGUUACUUCCUUCUACAGUCCUUGUGGCCUGUAUGCGCUCCC